rnacentral:rRNA from 1 species
GACGGGGGGAGCAAGCGUUGUUCGGAAUCACUGGGCGUAAAGGGCGUGUAGGCGGUCAGGUUAGUGAGAUGUGAAACGCCUCGGCUCACCCGAGGACCUGCAUCUCAAACUGCCUGGCUUGAGUAUGGGAGAGGAUGAGGGAAUUCCUGGUGUAGCGGUGAAAUGCGUAGAUAUCAGGAGGAACACCGGUGGCGAAAGCGCUCAUCUGGCCCAAUACUGACGCUGAGGCGCGAAAGCUAGGGGAGCAAACGGG